CUGCACAGUGCUUCUGUAUUUUUUCAGUUCAGCGAUGACUGGCGGAGACGGAAUAUCCAACUGUGAUACUUUGUGUAAUCCGGACAAUCAUUAUGAGUGGUCCUGCAAAACAUAUUGCCCAGAUUAUAGCUUCAGCCCUGCUGUAUCUACCUCUACUAUUAUACCAACUAUUUCCGGAGAAGCUACAUUGCAAUCUGAUCUAACCGUAGUAUUGCUGGUCGCAUUUGGUGCCUUAUUUGCAACGGCGUUUAUAAUUGUGGCCAUUUAUAUAAUUCGUAAACAAAGACGAAAUCACAAAUUCUGCCCUAUUAUAUAUAACGAACAACUUCCUAUACCUGUUCAAGAGACAGCAAUACGGUAUGAAAAUGAGUUAAAUGAAAUAAAAGAAGAAAUGCAAUCUUUAUCAGAAAACAAGGAUGAUCAGGUUGUUGGAACCAACAGUCAUGUUGAUACCAUACCACCAGAGACAACUAAUCCGGGUGACACCGUUCCACUUUUAGAUUAUAAUUCACCUAGUGCCAAUUCAUUGAGUAACACAUCUGAUGGCGUUGAAGCCUCCAGGUUAGCAAAUUGCAACGGGUUGAACAAUUUCAACGAGCAACGCGGUAAUCAUGCUGCAGUUUGUUGCAGAUCUUGUAUAGAAAUGAACGAAACAUUCGGAAACCAAAGGCAAAUUCCUCAAACUGAAAAUGUAGGGUCUAGGAUUAGUGAUGCUGGUUCCGAAACUGAUUUAAGUGAUGACAGUAUUACUGUACAAAAUGAUUCAAGCGAUGAAGAAAGCAAUGACAGUGGUGCUGCAAGACCUAAACGUGUAGUACGCGUCGUUACUGAAAUUGAAGUUUAAAGCGACAUUAUGCUGAGUGUUUCACUGUCAAGCUGAGAUAAAUUAGUUGUACAUUUCAACAGAUUGACUAUUAUGAUGGCGGUUGAACAAAAUUGAUAAUGCCAACUGUUUAAGAUAAAGUAUAUAAACUUCCUAAAAUAUAAAAGACUGCGCCAUUCUUUUAAAACUUAACAUUACCGAUAAUUUCGUAAAGAUAUUUAAUUUUUUGUGGGUAACGGGGUUAUUGACUAUACAGGGGACGUUUAUCAUAAAAUUGAAAUCAAUAUGAAAAAAUACAAAAUGUAUAAAGUUAUUUAGAAUUCACCUGAACACUCAGCAUUUACUCUUGGAUGGGCAUAAUGUCACCGAAAUAGAAUUUUGAUUUAAAAUUUCAAUUUAAAACAGUUUACAGUUGUAGUAUGAUUUUUUUGUUUUUAAUGUUGAAUGGACAUACGUCAGAAUGUGAUUUUGUUUCAAAUUUUAGCUCACCAAUGUCUUUCUAUAUAUUAUAAUUGUGCUCAAAAAUGUUAUUUUUAUCGAUCUAUUGUUCAAGAGAUUUUAUGUUCAAGUUUGUUGUUAAACAUAUAUAUAAGUAGCUGAUCGUUAUUGUUUUCAGUAAUGAUCGGUUAACUAUAAUACAAAUAUAUAUAAAUUUGUGUAAAGCCAUAAUUGUAUUUAAAGUCAAAUUGCACUCGUUGGCAAGAUAUCAUUAAUAUUUAACAGCCGUUUUCUUCAGACUGAAGCUGUUCAUGUAUUUUCUGAAACAUAUAGGCUUUUUGCAGUGAUAAAAAGUGCGUACGAUAAGGUUAAUUGUUAUAAUUGAUUCAUUAUUUAAUUUCUUGAACGCUUUCAUCUAGACUGUAAUAAUGACAUCGAGUUUUGUAAUAUUUUUGUCAUCAUAGAAUUCUUAUUCAUAGGGCAUUUGAAUGUUGUAUAUAAUAUCCACAAACAUUAUUUGUUUUACUGAUUUAUUUCAUGUUAAUUCUGGCAUGUUGGCCAAAAUCCUAAAUAUUUGAAAGUGAUACAAAAUCGAACCCAACGGUCCUUUGUCGAUCCGAUGUGGUUCGGUUUAAUUAAACUGUUGUGUUUUGUUUGUUCUUUCUAACAAUAAAACAAAUUAAAAUUAAUUAUCUGUUUUAAUUUAUAUUGUCCCUUGUCUAAAUAUAAAUCCAAAAAGUUAAUAAUAUAUAAUGUAGAUGUAAAGCAUAAAGGCUAUAAUGUAGCGUAUGACCCAUCGAGUAUGUUCUUAGAAACGAUGCCUCUGUCAUUAUCCAGAAAGCAAUUAGGUAUAUUGUUAGUAAAUAAACACACUUGAAUACAGUAUAUGUCCAAAUUCAGAAAAGAAAUAGGUAUAUUAUUAGUUGAUCAAUACAUUUAAAACCACGGUACACGUGAGGUUAUAAAAAUUAAAGGGUGAGACGACACUUAAACGAAUAUUUCUAUUACUAACAUAAAUGACCAGUUUUAACGUAACCGUAAUUCAGGCAAGUUACGAAAGCAUUGAAGACAAAGGGUAAAUACUUAAAAAUUGAAAAAUUGGAUGUAACUGUAAUUAAACAUGAGGUGAACCUCCAUACAGGCUUAUGCAUAUACAUGUUUGGCUUACUAUGUUAUCGUUUGCGAUAAUUUGUGAAAUACAAUGUGUGAAAUACCAUAGAUGCGUUGAUAUUAAGUUCUUCAUAUAAAAAUAUCUGGUUUAUAUAAUAUUUUCGCAACGGUAAUUAUAAUAUUUUCGCAACACCAAAUUAUAUUAGUUAAAUCUAGACGACUACACGUAACAGUGUCAAAAUCAUUGAAUCAUAAAAUGAUAUGUAUAUAUUUUUAUAUAAUCAUGAAAUCCUAUUAUAAAUCCAAGAAAUGUACAUAUUUAAAUUUUAAGGAAUCCCUUGAAUGAACUUUUGAAUGUUCCGAUUUAGUAACAUUUAUGAAAACCAGGUCUUUAAAUAGAUUUUAUUGCGUUGUCUCCAAACUCACAUUAAUUCAGGACUGUUAUACGAUAGAGCGAUAUCAAGAAUUUUGCUUCGUUCGAAAUAAAAUGGCGCCGGUAUAUGGCAGGAAUGGAUUUUCUGACUGUAAGGUGAUUUGUGAUCCGAAGAAUGGAUACUCUCACCAGUCGUGUGUUGAUGAAUGUCAAGGGAUAUACAACUUUACCACCAAAGCUAUCAACAGUAUUCCUUUGCCAACUCCAGCUAUUAACAGCGUCACAAUUGCAAACUAUACAAACAUUCCACCCAAUACCAACAGCGAAGAUAGUAUCACUGGAUUGUAUUAUUUAUUAUCUAUUCUAAUAUUUCUCACUAUUAUUUUGAUACUUGUUAUUUGCUUCCGUAAAAACAUUUUAGAAUUCUUGCAAAACAUGAUUCAGUGGACAAGAGACAAAAUGUGUGAGAUAAGCAACAAAAAUUACAGAGAUAACGUGCAAAUGGGUGACUUAAAAGUAGAAUCUGAAGACUUGCUAAAAAAGAAAACUAAUAAUACUGGUAACACAAGUAAAAAUCUUGAACGCGAGCAAACAUUUGGUAACAAAGGUGAAAAUCUUGAACGUGAGCCAACAUUUGGAAACACAUCAGCUAUUUCCAUGGGAAGUUUAAGAAUUCCAAAGAAUGCUACGGAAAUAAAUGACAACGUUUUAACUGCUACAAUCACAAGUAAUGGCCCCGACCACAAUUCCACUGCCAACAAUGAAGGGACAGAAAGCGAAACAGACACUGAUACUGAAGUUGAAAGUGGUUACAAUUCUAAUAUUUCACCUACAGACGAAGCAAAUAGAGUAGCCAAAAGCAAAGGGGUUGUUCGCGUAAUUACAGAAAUAAAUCUCCGAUGAAUUGUUGUUUGUUCCUCAAAAAAUAUAUAAUAAAAUAAAUAAUAAUAAUAAUAAGCUUAAAAAGACAGCACAUAUCUUUUUGCAUUGUAUGAUAUAAAUCGGUGAAUGUAUGCAUAUAUGUGGUCAUGCAUUAAUAUUUAUCAACAAUAUAAAUGUACAAUGAUGACCAUUGCCAUGUACUUAAAAUGCUUACAUAAAUCUCGUAUUUACUAAAAUGUACAUAUCCAUCAAUGCCAAAAAAUAUGUCAUCUGUGUAUGCGUGGCUUUCUGUGAGUUCCGUGUUGUGCUCUAUUAAGUUAUUGGUACGUCCCACCCUUUCUUUCUCCGUCCUUGCGUCAUAUUGCCCCAAUUUGGUUUGAUGCCUAUGGUUGAAGCACGUUUUGUUGAGAACAACGACCUGUGAACACCGCCUUGCCUUGUUGAUUUUGUCACUUUUUUAAAAAAAGUAUUGACUUUGAUUGAUAAUUUGUCAUUUAAAACCAUAUCACAUGGCAUAUGUGAAACUGUAAUGUCAGUAAAGAAUAAGUUAUAAGUACCAUUAUGUUAUGUUAGAUAAUGUUAAAUAAAUUUCUCUGUCAUUUUUUUUUAUAUUAUUCAUAAAAGAAUUAAUUUUGAUUGAUAUAUUGUCAUUUAAAACCAUAUCACAGGGCAUAUGUGAAACUGUAAUGUCAGUAAAGAAUAAGUUAUAUGUACCAUUAUUUUAUGUUAGAAAAUGUUAAAUAAAUUGAAUGAUGCUCAAAUGUGUGAUGUAUCAUACAUAAGGCGAUAGUUGUGAUAGUGAGAUUUGUGUUGGUAAACACGCUAAAAACUGACAGUGGUUCUUUAACUUUUGUUAUUCUAUUGAUAUGUCAUUUAGAUCAGUACAUCAAAUAAAAGAGUAAAUGAAAUAGAUUGUU